rnacentral:tRNA from 1 species
GUCCCGGUAGUUCAAUGGAUAGAACAGAGGUUUCCUAAACCUCCGAUCCAGGUUCAAUUCCCGGUCGGGACACCC